rnacentral:rRNA from 1 species
AGCAGCCGCGGUAAUUCCAGCUCCAAUAGCGUAUAUUAAAGUUGUUGCAGUUAAAAAGCUCGUAGUUGAAUUUCGGGACCAAUAUGUCGGUCGUGCCUCGGUACGUACUGGUGUCAUUGGUUUCUCCCUUCUGAGGAUCCUUGAUGUCAUUAAUUUGGUGUCUUGGGGAAUCAGGACUGUUACCUUGAAAAAAUUAGAGUGUUUAAAGCAGGCAUGCGCUUGAAUACAUUAGCAUGGAAUAAUGAAAUAGGACGUUCGAUUCUAUUUUGUUGGUUUCUAGGAUCGACGUAAUGAUUAAUAGGGAUAGUUGGGGGCAUUAGUAUUCAAUUGUCAGAGGUGAAAUUCUUGGAUUUAUUGAAGACUAACUACUGCGAAAGCAUUUGCCAAGGAUGUUUUCAUUAAUCAAGAACGAAAGUUAGGGGAUCGAAGACGAUCAGAUACCGUCGUAGU